GGUUUUUCAUACUAGGAUGAUUGAUCGGCACUGUAAGAAAAUCUUUCUAUUGAUUUAUAAAACUGAGAGUAUACUGGAUAGGAACAUCAAAUUUACUGGACAACAGGCGAAACACAGACCAAUCAAAGAGUUAUUGCAAGGGUUUUUAAGUUGCAAAGAUUGUGUGUUGUGCUCUUCCUCAACGAGGCAUCUGCUUUUACAUCCCCCAAUUCUGAUCGUACGUACUUGUACAUCAUGCACAGCCA
rnacentral:lncRNA from 1 species